AAAAGACAUCGAAAGCUUGCUUUUGAUGGGCGUCGACCGGCGCACGGGUGAGUAACGCGUAUCCAACCUGCCCAUCACUUGGGGAUAACCUUGCGAAAGUAAGACUAAUACCCAAUGACGUCUCUAGAAGACAUCUGAAAGAGAUUAAAGAUUUAUCGGUGAUGGAUGGGGAUGCGUCUGAUUAGCUUGUUGGCGGGGUAACGGCCCACCAAGGCUACGAUCAGUAGGGGUUCUGAGAGGAAGGUCCCCCACAUUGGAACUGAGACACGGUCCAAACUCCUACGGGAGGCAGCAGUGAGGAAUAUUGGUCAAUGGACGAGAGUCUGAACCAGCCAAGUAGCGUGCAGGAUGACGGCCCUAUGGGUUGUAAACUGCUUUUAUAAGGGAAUAAAGUGAGUCUCGUGAGACUUUUUGCAUGUACCUUAUGAAUAAGGACCGGCUAAUUCCGUGCCAGCAGCCGCGGUAAUACGGAAGGUCCGGGCGUUAUCCGGAUUUAUUGGGUUUAAAGGGAGCGUAGGCCGGAGAUUAAGCGUGUUGUGAAAUGUA
rnacentral:rRNA from 1 species